rnacentral:rRNA from 1 species
AGUGAACGCUGGCGGCAGGCCUAACACAUGCAAGUCGAACGGCAGCACGGUAAGAGCUUGCUCUUACGGGUGGCGAGUGGCGGACGGGUGAGGCAUACAUCGGAAUCUACUUUUUCGGGGGGGAUAACGUAGGGAAACUUACGCUAAUACCGCAUACGACGUACGGGAGAAAGCAGGGGAUAUUCGCACCUUGCGCGAUUGAAUGAGACGAUGUCGGAUUAGCUAGUUGGUGGGGUAAAGGCCCACCAAGGCGACGAUCCGUAGCUGGUCUGAGAGGAUGAUCAGCCACACUGGAACUGAGACACGGUCCAGACUCCUACGGGAGGCAGCAGUGGGGAAUAUUGGACAAUGGGCGCAAGCCUGAUCCAGCCAUGCCGCGUGGGUGAAGAAGGCCUUCGGGUUGUAAAGCCCUUUUGUUGGGAAAGAAAAGCAGCAGGUUAAUACCCCGCUGUUCUGACGGUACCCAAAGAAUAAGCACCGGCUAACUUCGUG